ACUCUAGUCCGACUUUGUGAAAUGACUUGAGAUGUGUAUGAUAAGUGGGAGCUGCCCCCAGUGGCACAAGUGAAAUACCACUACUUUUAACACUAAUUUAGUUAUUCCGUGAGUUGGAGGUGGGGCAUCACCCCUCGUUUUGGCUCCAAGGCUCGCCCUCGGCGGGCUGAUCCGGGUGGAUGACAUUGUCAGGUGGGGAGUUAGGCUGGGGCGGCACAUCUAUUAAAAGAUAACACAGGUGUCCUAAGAUGAGCUCAACAAGAACAUAAAUCUCGUGUGGAACAAAAGGGUAAAACUUCAUUUGAUUCUGAUUUCCAGUACGAAUACGAACCAUUAAAGCGUGGCCUAUCAAUCCUUCAAACCUUCGGGGCCUUCGAAUACUAUUCGGGUCUGAGGU
rnacentral:ncRNA from 1 species